rfam:Prunus persica cultivar Lovell chromosome G5, whole genome shotgun sequence.
UUGAGAACUCACUGGUUUCGGAGUCAUGGGAACUCCGAAGUUAAGCGAGUUGGGGCUAGAGCAAUCCCAGGAUGGGUGACCCACUGGGAAGUUGCUUGUUAGUUCCCAGA